GUUUUUAGGAUCUGGUUAGCGGGCGUGCAUGCUCUUUGUGAGCGUGCGUGCUGAGAGACGGGAGUAAGCGGGCGGCGGAGGGAAGCAGGGAAGCGGCGGUGGGGAGCUAGAUAAGCGCUGCGCUUGCGGCGGCGGACCGUCUAGGGUCCGCGAUCGGCGCCUAGGCAAACGGCCGAGGCUCCCCAGCACCUCCGCGGCGGCGGCUCCAGGAUUUCCUCCGCGGCGGCACCUGGAGGCCCACCGGUAGCCCUGUGGAGACGACUCCAUGCGGAAGCGGAAGCGCGCGACGGCUGGAGGGUCUCCUCUGCGGCGGCGGUAGCUGGAGGUUCCCCUCUGCGGCGGUGGUGGACGCGAUUUGGGAUCCGUAGUUGGUGGCACGAGGGCAGCAGACCAAGGAGGACGCAAGCGGUGGUACGCUAGCCGAAGGAGGGAGUCCAAGAACAUGCCUUAUAUGGUGGUCUGGGGCUACUUAGUCAAUCGUUCGAACACCUUGUAAAGAAGGAACAGUUAGUAGGACUAGUAAUAGACUUUGUAGUCACAACCGACGGGUCCUUCUUCCUUUCCAGUCAGGUCUGUACUGUAAAUUGAGAUUAUUACCUCCAUGCAUCACGGAUGACGAGGGAACAGGGAACGAUGGCAGACCCCUACGAACCGAGCGGUCGCUACCCCUACGAGCCGAGCGUCAGGGACGAGAGUAAAAGGAGGUCGGAGACCAUUGGGAGGAGGAGCGGGCGGAGCGGCUUCGCCCUAAGUGUCCCUCGUAGUCCAUGUAGAAUACACCCCUACUUGGUAGUCGAUUUCCCUCACUAUCCUUUUAUAAAACAACUUACGUUACCCUUCCGCUUUUUGCUGUGCGGAACCGCUUCGUUGAGAUUCUAAGCCAUUCCGAUUAGUUCAGACGUUAGUUUAGGUUCUCGUCCCCGUCUCUUUUUGCAAUUUUAUGAAAAAUCGAUAACUAACUUCACUGACCAUUAAUCAUCGUCCUCGUUGUCAACAUCAUUCUUGGAUGGAUCCGUAUAAAAGAGAGAAAGGAUAGUGUACCGUGUAACUUAUUGAAAUAUCAUGUUUAUAUAAGUGUAUACAAUAAAAUUUAAUAGUACAGUACCUCCAAGAGCAAUAAAGCUUAGAAACCAACCUUGGAAGUAAAACACAAUAAUUUACGUGUACCAUAAGUCAAUAGAGGUAAUACCACUCUUCUGAAACUAGAACUAUAUAGUCUAAAUUCGGAGAAUGUGGUAUCCUCCAGGAGGAAAACCACUAUAAGUGAGUAUACAGUAAAAUUUAAUAGUACAGUACCUCCACGACCCAUAAAGCUUAGAAACCAACCUUGGAAGUAAAACGCAAUUUAAGUGUACCAUAAGUCAAUAGAGGUAAUAACGGUCAUCGUUGCGUGUUCGUGAAAGAUAAUUUACGUGUACGAUAAAAGAAAACAUAGUACAGUAAAACACCAGUAAUUGUCAGUCUACCUACUUUGACUAGAACAAAACACGUAGUACCUAAAAGGAGUUGACUUACUCAUCUUUGUAUUCACACAUUACAUCAUCGGGGAGAUAAGGUAACAAUAUUUAUAAUAUCAAAAAGUUAGACGACUGGACUAGCAUUGUCGACAAAUUUUCCUUCACUAGUGUAGUGAUAAAUCUAAAAUGAAAAAAAACAUACGAAUUUGUAUUCUAAUCAAACAGGGGAAAGAAAAAUGGGAAGUACGAUUGUAUUAUUUAUGUAUAAACUUGACUUAACCAACAUAAUGUAUACGGUGCUUCCUACAGCGGCGAACUUCGAGCUAAAGGUAGUCGGGGAGAAAAUUAAGUGAACGUAACAAAGUCGAAACGUAACAUGAAGAAACUGCUUAAUGGAGUAGGUUGGCCGAAAUUAAGCCUCGCAGUCAGAAUGAUUAAUAGUAACGGAAUUGAAAGGUAUACUUGGAGAAUGUCCUUUGUUCCUGAGGAUAAACAGACAUCAUGACGGGUACUCUGAGUUGGAACAAAAUGGAAUUAAUAGUACCACACGGAAAAAAAAUAUUAUCGAGUGGUAAAACAAUCACCGUUAUUUUACGUAGAAAUCCGUGUGGAUAUCGCGUGUACACUACUACAUGUCUACUUUCUUUCUAGAAUCUUCAACUCUUCGGCUCUCGACCUCCUUGUUCCUCUUCGAUUUUCCUGUCUUCUUCAGUCUCGUACACCUCGACAACCCGUUCGUCUCAAGAUAGACCCAUAAAUCCGUUCUUGUUUAGUCUGCCUUGUUCAAACGAUGCCCACCCACACGUAGUUCGACGAAGCAACGGCCGCCGCUCAUUAGAGUGUGUACAAAUACCGCGUAUACAUGGUCUUUUAAGUUUACCAAGACUAGUAUGCACGUUCCCCUUAGUCCAUCCCGAACUACGCGGAAAGUAUGCUUUACAACUACUCUUAAUGGGUUCAUCAGGUCCAUACUCCGACACGCCUAUAUCAUUAGUAUUAAAGGUCACCGUAGCAGUACAAGAUUAUUUAUUCUACCCUUCAAGUCUUAUUACAUUGUAGCCGUACAAGAUUACUUAUUUUAUUCUCUUCCAACCCCCGAAUCAUUAAUGUAUCAGUCUUUUCUCCCUGAUACCACCUAAUCUUCUAUACAUAUACAUCGACGUUCGUAUACAUAAACCUAACAGUCGACUUGUUACAAAGUCGACUUCUAGAGACUUUAAUAUUGGUAGUCAAGGAUUAUCGAAUGUUGACCACACUACUCGGUGUGUUGACGAACAACACUACAUGUGAACGGAGUAGCUUCGUGUAUAUAAUAUUUAAUUGACUUUAUAUCAUGGAAGUUUAGGUUACACAUCAUUUACAUGAUACCAUACACGUCGUUGUAGAAAAUCUAGUAGUUUAUCUUGGAUCCAAGUAUAAUCCGAUCGGUGUAUAAUAAACUCGUUGUGGUCAUUGAAUUGUCGUACAGGUUGUAGAACUUAACAAUUCGCUACUCACAAAUACACUAUCGUACAGUCCAAUUAUUUUAGUCCAUCGUUGGCGUUGGGUUGUAGGAUUUUUGCUCCAAUGUGCUAAUGGUAAACUUAUCAUCGUAAAACCUCUUUCGUGAUUAUACGUGAAUUUAAUACGUGUCUACGUACAGUCCAACAAGCGAACCAGACGCGGUUGCUCGUAGAGGAUGUUCAGUAGUAGAGAGAGAAACAGCCGAGGUACAACAUCGGACGAUCCUCAGGAUGGAACGGUACCUCGUACAGGAAACAGUACCCAGCAUGACUCCACUCACGACCACACCCUAAACUACACAAUCAUCUAACCCUGCAGCCGAAGAACCACACCAAACUACUCUGCCACCGCUAUACCAGACCUUCCCCCGUACACACUCCGCUCUCUCUUAUUGCUCGUCUCAGUAAGUAUAUAUUAUGAUUUUAGGAUGGGAAGUAUUUAAUCUAAAAAGCUGCUAUUCAUUCAUGGAUUCAGAUACAAUACAAAUUCAAUUUUCAUGUUACAGAUACACCCGGUAUGUAUGUAGCUAAUUAUUUCGUCAAUCAUGAAUUUAACUGGCAGUUCAGGAUACACGGAAUCCCCAUUCAAAAUUAGAGGUGGUAACUGAGUGAAUUCCACCCAUAUGACUUCGUCUGGGGAAUAUUAAUACUUGCCAAAUAUUUCAACUUCCUACUUUGAACUUGCUUGUGUUAAGACUCCAAACAUUUCACUUCGGUUUCUGUUCAAGCUCCCCAUUAUACCUGAAGAGAGUUUGAUAUAAUAGUCUCCUGUUACUCCCAGAACUUCUGUUACUUUCGCUACUCAAAGACGACCAAGACAAAACAACAUCCGCUUCAAGAAUUAAUAUUAAUAGUUACACAAGAAUUCCUGAGUCACUGUACGUUCCGCUCCCUUUAACUUCGGUUUUGUACGUCCUGCCGGUCCUCACACGGUAAAAAAGAUACUGUCCCCCACCAAGAAGUUAGAAGUCCCUUAGUUCGCCAUCGUAGUCUACGACUGUACGUACCUUCGUCAUUUGUAACUAUUCUCAUGUUCGUAACCUCCUCAUGAGUGGUGUAAGCUCCUUCAGCAGUAGUACCACCACCACCAGCUCCUUCAGCAUCCACGACCACCGUAGUAGUGCCUCGUCCGUGGUAGAAGAGGAGCUGAAUUUUACACCCUACGUCGUUGGAACAGUUUCAUCGUAGACAAGGAAACAAAGGUUUACAAGGUCCGCAGGCCCUGAAACUAACGUAACUUGUUACCCACACCGGUACUUCUGAAGUGACGUAGUUUGUAGAGGACUUCGAGGUUCAACCAUAGGGUAACUUAUAACUACCUCAAGGUUAUCUGGCGUGACUUCCACGUGAUUUUUUUACCCACAAACAAGCAAAGGUCACCACACCACAACGUGUUUUCUGUCCUCACUGAGGUUAUAGUUUUACAGAGGCCACCUCGUACAGGGAAUGCAACUGAGACAGGUAAUUGUAGCCGGUCCACUUGUGAAAUUCAAAGUACUAUGUGAAACAGAAGGUCUAGUAACACUACAUACGCCCACCGACGUCAAGAGACUUCUUCUUCAACCACUUAAAGAACCCGGCUUUGACUUGUAGAGGGGU
rnacentral:rRNA from 1 species